rnacentral:rRNA from 1 species
GCGAACGCUGGCGGCAGGCCUAACACAUGCAAGUCGAACGAACUCUUCGGAGUUAGUGGCGGACGGGUGAGUAACACGUGGGAACGUGCCUUUUGGUUCGGAAUAACUCAGGGAAACUUGUGCUAAUACCGAAUGUGCCCUUCGGGGGAAAGAUUUAUCGCCAUUAGAGCGGCCCGCGUCUGAUUAGCUAGUUGGUGAGGUAACGGCUCACCAAGGCGACGAUCAGUAGCUGGUCUGAGAGGAUGACCAGCCACACUGGGACUGAGACACGGCCCAGACUCCUACGGGAAGCAGCAGUGGGGAAUCUUGCGCAAUGGGCGAAAGCCUGACGCAGCCAUGCCGCGUGAAUGAUGAAGGUCUUAGGAUUGUAAAAUUCUUUCACCGGGGACGAUAAUGACGGUACCCGGAGAAGAAGCCCCGGCUAACUUCGUG